GGGUUGUGAGGUUAAGCGACUAAGCGUACACGGUGGAUGCCCUGGCAGUCAGAGGCGAUGAAGGACGUGCUAAUCUGCGAUAAGCGUCGGUAAGGUGAUAUGAACCGUUAUAACCGGCGAUUUCCGAAUGGGGAAACCCAGUGUGAUUCGUCACACUAUCAUUAACUG
rnacentral:rRNA from 1 species